AGUGAACGCUGGCGGUAGGCCUAACACAUGCAAGCCGAACGGCAGCACAGUAAGAGCUUGCUCUUACGGGUGGCGAGUGGCGGACGGGUGAGGAAUACAUCGGAAUCUACUUUUUCGUGGGGGAUAACGUAGGGAAACUUACGCUAAUACCACAUACGACCUACGGGUGAAAGCAGGGGAUCUUCGGACCUUGCGCGAUUGAAUGAGCCGAUGUCGGAUUAGCUAGUUGGCGGGGUAAAGGCCCACCAAGGCGACGAUCCGUAGCUGGUCUGAGAGGAUGAUCAGCCACACUGGAACUGAGACACGGUCCAGACUCCUACGGGAGGCAGCAGUGGGGAAUAUUGGACAAUGGGCGCAAGCCUGAUCCAGCCAUACCGCGUGGGUGAAGAAGGCCUUCGGGUUGUAAAGCCCUUUUGUUGGGAAAGAAAAGCAGCAGGUUAAUACCCCGCUGUUCUGACGGUACCCAAAGAAUAAGCACCGGCUAACUUCGUG
rnacentral:rRNA from 1 species